UUCUCUUGCCCAUAUGUGCUUUUAAUAAUGCAAUGAUUAACAAUUUCUUUCUUCCCUUUGCUCGUGUUAAAAAGCGGAGGUUCCUGUUAAAUUUCUCAUGCUAUAUUUUGGAGUUUCAAGAAUGAGUCAUUGAAUAGAGAAAAUGCUCCCAUAUCAUCCACAUAACCAAUGCUAGGGAUAGGGCUGCUAUUGGAUUUAAUCACAUACCUUGAUCUUCAGUGUGUCUAUA